UACGUAGGCAGCGAGCGUUGUUCGGAAUUACUGGGCGUAAAGAGUGCGUAGGCGGUGCUCUAAGUUUGGUGUGAAAUCUCCCGGCUUAACUGGGAGGGUGCGCCGAAGACUGGAGUGCUUGAGUGUGGGAGAGGAAAGCGGAAUUCCUGGUGUAGCGGUGAAAUGCGUAGAUACCAGGAGGAACACCUGCGGUGUAGACGGCUUUCUGGACCACGACUGACGCUGAGGCACGAAAGCGUGGGUAGCAAACAGG
rnacentral:rRNA from 1 species